AGAGUUUGAUCCUGGCUCAGGACGAACGCUGGCGGUGUGCUUCACACAUGCAAGUCGAGCGAAUGAAGUAGGUAGCUUGCUACUUAUGGAUUUAGCGGCGGACGGGUGAGUAAUAUAUAGGAAUCUGCCUUAGAGCGGGGAACAACAGACCGAAAGGUUUGCUAAUGCCCCAUAGGUAUGCAGUCUUCGGAUUGUAUAUUAAAGGAGUAAUCCACUCUAAGAUGAGCCUGUAUCCGAUUAGCUAGUUGGCGGGGUAAAGGCCCACCAAGGCUACGAUCGGUAGUUGGUCUGAGAGGAUGAUCAGCCACAAUGGGACUGAGACACGGCCCAUACUCCUACGGGAGGCAGCAGUGGGGAAUUUUACACAAUGGGGGAAACCCUGAUGUAGCGACACCGCGUGAACGGAGAAGCCUUUUGGGGUGUAAAGUUCUGUCGGCUGGAACGAAAAAAAUGACGGUACCAGCAAAGGAAGCAUCGGCUAACUACGUGCCAGCAGCCGCGGUAAGACGUAGGAUGCAAGCGUUGUCCGGAUUUAUUGGGCGUAAAGAGUUCGUAGGCGGUUAUUUAAGUCUGAUGUUAAAUACUGUGGCCCAACCACAGAACUGCAUUGGAUACUGGAUGACUUGAGUGCGGUAGAGGCAAGUGGAAUUCCCAGUGUAGCGGUGAAAUGCGUAGA
rnacentral:rRNA from 1 species